CAGUAGCCGCGGUAAUACAGAGGGUGCGAGCGUUAAUCGGAUUUACUGGGCGUAAAGCGUGCGUAGGCGGCUUCUUAAGUCGGAUGUGAAAUCCCUGAGCUUAACUUAGGAAUUGCAUUCGAUACUGGGAAGCUAGAGUAUGGGAGAGGAUGGUAGAAUUCCAGGUGUAGCGGUGAAAUGCGUAGAGAUCUGGAGGAAUACCGAUGGCGAAGGCAGCCAUCUGGCCUAAUACUGACGCUGAGGUACGAAAGCAUGGGGAGCAAACAGGAUUAGAUACCCGAGUAGUCGCUGUCUCUUAUAC
rnacentral:rRNA from 1 species